rnacentral:tRNA from 1 species
GCGCCUGUAGCUCAGGGGAUAGAGCAGCGGUUUCCUAAACCGCGAGUCGGAGGUUCGAAUCCUUCCAGGCGCA